UCUGCAAAUCCAUACUGUCAUGCCUAUUCCCCAAUAUCGCCAACGCGGAUAGUUCGUUAGGCGAAAAUACUGAAUAAUUAAACAAGCCAAAUGGCAUCACUGGUGGUUCUUUUUUCUACUCCGCUAAACUGUCAUCUCAAACAAAAACAAAUGGAUUAUACAACUGCUAUGAAUACAUUCGACUCGUUUGCUUCCAUCAAUCGGUAAGUGAGAAAAAUGAUUUCUCCCAUCACCACAGUGCGGAUUUCCACUUCUAUCACAGCAGCCAACAACAUCCGUUUUCCUGCAGCAGUAACCUCCAACCCCUGUUGGCAAUGCCGGGGGACAGCAUUAACAGCAGCAGCAGCAGAAUUUGACCAUGGUAUGGUAUUGCGAAAAACUUUCCCCAUUAGAGGUUCCGUGCUUCGCGCACAUUCAAAAAUCCUCUUCAGACACGAAAACUCAACGACAAGGAGGUAUUUAUCAACUUGCUCAGCUGAAUUACCACCCGGAGGAACCCGAAUGCACUGAUUCCGUUGUAUAGUAGAAUGAAAAUAGGCGAGGUAAGCGAACGUAAUCGCAUGAUAUUUUAAUGUUCGCAUUUUUAUCCGGAUCAUACAACUGCUAUGAAUGCAUACGACUCAAUCAAUCGGCAAAUGAGAAAGAUGAUUUCCCUCAUCACCACAUUGCUUAUUUCCACUUCUGUCACACCAGCCAACAGCAUCAGCUUUCCCGCAGCAAUAUCCUUUAAGUCCAGGGUGCUAUUCCGGGGAACAGCAUCAACAGCAACAGCAGCAGGACCUGGCCAUUGAUAGUAUUUCGAGCAAUUUUCCCCAUCGAAGAUCCCGUGCUUCACGCACAUUGAAGAAUCCUCCUCAGCCACAUAUCUGUGUCAUCAAGGGCAAGGAGGUAUUCAUCAAUGUACUCAGUCGGAUUUGAAUCGUCAAUCCAGAUAACCCGGAUGCACCGAUUCCAUUAUAUACCUUAUUUUUUCAUUAUACAUGGUUUUUUAUUAUUUUUUUUUUCAAUAAAAUGAUUAAAAUCGA